rnacentral:lncRNA from 13 species
AAAGCCUCUUCCUCAGUAAGGCCCAGGAACUGAGACCUGGGAGGUGGCCAAGCCGCUCCUGCGUGGAGGGGAGGCGUGUGCUGGCAGGACCCGUCAGCAAGUGCGUCCACGUCCUUCUGGGUCGGGUACUGGCUGAGUUGCGUCCCCACCCAGAAUGGCUUCCCGUUAACGCCAUCCACUCUGGGGAGUCACCCUUCUGUUUCCAGGUGAAGGGUGUGGAGCAGUUCUCUGUGUGGUCAGGCCCUGGGGUGGGAGCUACCUGUGUCUGAGCUCUGGGGCAGGUGGGAGGGAGUACCCUGGACGGACCCCAGGCUUGGUCUCUAGGAGUCCUCAGCUCUGUCUGUCCCCUACCUGCCCCCACGGUAGCUGCCUGGGUCAUGUUUUCAUCAUGGGCAGGGGCCUGGGGCCUGAGUGAGGAACGCACCAGCUGAGUGGCCACACCUCCUUUUUCUCUUUAACCCUAAAACCUGAAUUAAUCAGACACCAGAAACCGUGCACCUGUGUGGGAGGCAGGCAGGGAGCCCCUGUGCUUGCUGCUCUGUUCUGUAAAUCUAAACGUGCCUUCAGAAUAGCAUGUUCAUUAAAGCUUCAGGUCGACCUAGACCCAGGAGCAGGGUUUGACCCCACUCCCACACACGUGAGCACACUCAAGCAGCUGCAAUGGCCCUGUGCGUCCACCUAGGCCCGGGGCAGGGGCAGGUCCCCGUCCCCACCAGCCUGUAGGGUCAGGAGAAGGUGGGCCAGAACGGAUGACGCGUGGGCUUUGUGUCAACGUGGGUUGUGUGUUUGGGACAGGACCGACUCUCCAGGCUGGGAGAAGCCCCAGAAUGUCUGGAGGUCAGGCCCUGACCUUAUCCUGGGCAGUGCGGGCGUGAGGCGUGCAGGGCUUACCGUGGCGUCCCUGUGCGCACACUUAGGGAUGUCUGUGUGUUCACUCAUAUGUACCUGUCAGCGCACCUGCUGGUGGACACAGACCUGUCUGUGCACGUGGGUGUAUGUCAGCGUACCUGUCUGUACAUGGGCGUACAUGUUUGCACAUGUGCACGUAUGCAUGUCUGACAGUGUACACACUUGUGUGCACAUUAGUGUGACUGUGUACGUCUGCACACGUUUGUGUAUUAGUGUGACCGUGUGCCUGUGUGUGUAUGUGUCGGUGUGUCUGCAUGUGUGCGUAUACACAUCAGCAUGUACAGGCACAUCUGUGCACGUCUGCACACGUUUGUGUAUUAGUGUGACCGUGUGCCUGUGUGUACGUGU